rnacentral:rRNA from 1 species
UACAGAGGUCCCAAGCGUUGUUCGGAAUCACUGGGCGUAAAGGGUGCGUAGGCUGCGGCGCAAGUCAGAUGUGAAAUGCCAGGGCUCAACCUUGGAACUGCAUCCGAUACUGCGUCGCUCGAGUGCUGGAGGGGAGUCUGGAAUUCACGGUGGAGCAGUGAAAUGCGUGGAUAUCGUGAGGAACACUAGUGGCGAAGGCGAGACUCUGGACAGCUACUGACGCUGAGGCACGAAGGCCAGGGGAGCAAACGGG